GAUACCCUAUUAUUUUAAAUGUAAUUUAUUAACUAAAAUUAUUAAUAGUUAUGUUCUUUAAAAUUAAAAAUUUUGGCGGUAUUUUAGUCUUUUCAGAGGAACCUGUUUUUUAAUUGAUAGUCCACGAUAAGUUUUACUUUAACUUUAAAUUUAUAUAUCGUCGUUUAUAAAGAUUUUAUUAGAAUUUAAAUUUUUAAUAUUUUUAAUUAAACAUUAAUUCAGAUCAAGGUGUAGUUUAUGUUAAAGUGGGAAUGGGUUACAUUGAAUUUAUUUUUGGUUUUAUUAUUGAAAAUUUUAAAUAAAUUGGAUUUGAAAGUAAUAAUUAUAUUUUUAUAUUAUGAUUAAGCUCUAAAAUAUGCACACAUCGCC
rnacentral:rRNA from 1 species